rnacentral:tRNA from 2 species
ACCUAGCUGGCUCAGAUGGAAGAGCGUGUGACUCUGGAUCUCAAGGUCAUGAGUUUGAGCCCCAUGUUGGGUG